rnacentral:rRNA from 1 species
UACAGAGGCCUCGAGCGUUAGGCGGAAUCACUGGGCGUAAAGCGCACGUAGGCGGAUGUGCCAGUCAGGGGUGAAAUCCCGGAGCUCAACUUCGGAACUGCCUCUGAUACAGCACGUCUUGAGUCCGGAAGAGGUGGGUGGAAUUCCUAGUGUAGAGGUGAGAUUCGUAGAUAUUAGGAAGAACACCGGUGGCGAAGGCGGCCCACUGGUCCGGUACUGACGCUGAGGUGCGAAAGCCAGGGGAGCAAACGGG